rnacentral:sRNA from 12 species
GGAUGCAAGGUAGUAUUACCUUGCAUCCUAUGUAGCAAGUAGCA